UACGAGUGCUCCAAGCGUUAUCCGGAAUCAUUGGGCGUAAAGGGUGUGUAGGCGGUUGUGUUAGUCUUUUGUUAAAUUCUUCGGCUUAACCGGGGACAUGCGAAGGAAACGGCACAACUAGAGGAUGCGAGAGGUAAAUGGAACUCAUGGAGUAGGGGUGAAAUCCGUUGAUAUCAUGGGGAACACCGAAAGCGAAGGCAAUUUACUGGCGCACUCCUGACGCUGAGACACGAAAGCGUAGGUAGCGAAUGGG
rnacentral:rRNA from 1 species